ACUGUGGAGAGGAUGGUCCCAAGUGAAAGGAAAAGUGGGAGGCGAGUCCCUGGUGGCGGGGAGGCGGCCGACCUUAAAGGAGCUGCCGUUGUGGCUCUUCUAAAACCUGUUCUGUUUGGAAAAGCAAAAGCGAAGGAGGGAAAACAAGUGGCCGCACAGGACGUGCUGUCCCCAGAAGUGGAAGGGGCAAGAUGGGCUCAGGAGAGUAUCCUGCUUGUGGCCGCGAUGGUGCUGAGAAUUACCGCCUGCUAGGGAUGCCGGUCUAUAGAGGAUCCAGUCUACCUGACACGCCCUCUUCCUCGUUAUAAAGGGGAAGGAGCCCAUACCCCGUACAUUGACUAGUUUGUCUAAAGUCACAUGCCUACUGGCAUGCUUUGUACCUCACUUAUAGGGCUCUGACGAAGAAAGAUAAGACUGCAGAAGGUCAAACUGGAGAAAAUAGGAAUGUUCAUCUAAGGCGUUGGAACUUUUCAUACAAGAGUUAAAAAGACCGUGAAAAUUUGUGAGCAGAUGAAUGAAACGGCCAGGACCAUGUCAAAUCAUCAUCUGGAGCUGCAAAGGAAUCCUACUGGCACGCUGAACAAAACUGGGGUUCUGCUAGUGAGAAUGAAGGGGAGAACUUGUAAUCCACUUUGUCAAAGUAUAAUACAUGUACUUAUGGGAAGUGCCUGCUUGGAUAGGUUUCAGCGGGCAUAUCCACCAGUCAAGAUAACAGAAUAUUUCCACCUUGCCUGAGAGCUUCCUCCUGUCUCCUCACAGAUCCUUCUUCCACUCCAGGCCUGCAGGUAAUCACUGAUCUGUCUUCUGUCACAAUAGAUUUUCUAGAAUUUUUAAUGUAAUUGUACAGUA